CCUACGGGAGGCAGCAGUGGGGAAUAUUGCGCAAUGGGCGAAAGCCUGACGCAGCGACGCCGCGUGAGGGAUGACGGUCCUCUGAUCGUAAACCUCUGUCUGUAGGGAAGUACGGUCACUGUGCUAAUCAGCAGUGAAUUGACGGUACCUGCAAAGGAAGCACCGGCUAACUCCGUGCCAGCAGCCGCGGUAAAACGGAGGGUGGGAGUGUUAAUCGGAAUGAUUGGGCGUAAAGCGCUCGUAGGCGGUAUGUUAAGUCAAGGGUGAAAUCCCGGGGCUCAACGUGGGAACUGCCGUUGAAACUGGCAAACUGGAGUGUGUGAGAGGAGAGUGGAAGUCGAGGUGUAGGAGUGAAAUGCGUAGAUAUCUGGAGGAACAUCAGUGGCGAAGGCGGUUAUCUGGCACAUAACUGACGCUGAGGAGCGAAAGCGUGGGUAGCAAACAGGAUUAGAUACCCGGGUAGUC
rnacentral:rRNA from 1 species